GCCCUUGUAGCUUAGGGGUAGAGCGUUGCACUUGUACUCUUCGCAGCGAAAUGCAAAGGUCGGCGGUUCAAUUCCGCCCGGGGGCA
rnacentral:tRNA from 1 species